ACUAAGUUAAGCGCCAAAACUAAAAUCCCAAAGCAUUUUUGAUUUCCCUCCUUCGAACCUACGCGAAAAAAAACCUAAGUCGUCUGCUCCCUCGCCUUCACUGGGUCGCCUCCUCUUCACAGCGGUCGCCUCGCAAGCCUCGCCUUCACCGUCUCAUCGUGAUCUGAAAAUGCAUGCUGAUUGAAAAUGCUGACUAAAAAUGCAUUGAGCUCAGCGUCGCGUGUCGCCCUCUCAUUGUUGUUAGGUCCCUUCUUCGAGGCAUUUCCACUGUGGUCUCCUCUCGCCGACAUUAGCGUCGUCUCGUCGUGGUUGGGCUUAAGCAACUUGGUAUCUCAAGUGCACUAGAGACUCUAUGUGGGCAAGCAUCUGGUGCUGGACAAGUGGAAAUGCUAGGGAAAAUUAUUGUAUUCAAGAUGGUAUUUAAUUUGGCUUUGCAGUCUUUACUAUUUAUAGCUUAAUCUGCAUACGUUUUUCUGUUAGUAACUCAGGUUCAGCUCUGCCAAGUAUGUUACAUAUUUGAUGCCUUUUAUUUGAAGUUAUAGGUUUAUAAUUGUUCUGUUUUAUGACUUUGGUUGCUAGCCCUUUUCUGAAUGUGUGUUGUUGUUGGUAGUUAUAAUAAGGAUUUAUCAGUCUUCUGUUAAUAAUUAAUUGCCUAUUAAGUAUGAAACUUAUGUUGAUUAGAUCUACUAUUUAUCAUCUAUGACAUGUUUGAUCGUUAUUAUUGUCCAUGAUAAAAGCAAGUUAGUGUAACGUCUAAAAAUAUCGGUCAGAUGUAGUUUUGUAGGGACUAGCCCAAAAAGGUGUUUUUUAAUAGACAAGGAGCAUUAUGCUUCAUUCCUUGCAGAUUGAAGAAUUAAUGGCAUAGAAGAGCAAUGAGAGAGAUAAACUAAGUGCAAAUUUGGUAGAAAAAAAAGACUCGAUGUUUAUUGGCUUUAAAAGAAACGUGAAAUUCGAAACUUUAAUUCUUGUUAAAAAUAGUUAAAAAAUAAUAUACAAGGAGUAUUUUUUACAUGAAAUGGAUAUACUGUUUAACAUACAUUCUUUUUAACUAAUUGAUAGUUGUCUUUACCCUUUUGGAAAGUAAUGUAGUAUAAUUUACUUUUAAUUCAAUUAUCAAUAGGCCUACAAAAGCUACAAAAUUAUGCUUAGUUGUUGAUUUAUGAUAAAGAAAUUGAUAUUGAUGCACUGCUUGAGAAAGACUUGUUGACACUAGAUGACACCAUGAAGACUGCUAAUGAUGCAGUUUUGCUGCUGUUAAGGUUGUCUCUGUUCUAAAGUCUGUAAGUCUAGUUUUAUAGUAUACUUUCUGCUAUUUGUUUGUAUAAAACUAUUUUGUGGUUACAGAUUGAAACUUUUGCAGGAGAUGCACAGAAAAAUUAUAGACAUAUUGAAUGGUGGGAUGAAAGAGGCCAGCCCUUCAGAAAUUAAUAAAGACCCCAUUUGAUAGCGUUGUUAAGCAUUGAGUGUCAAACUUGAAGUUUUUUUGGGGUGUGUAUCAUGUCAGCUUUGUGUCAUUUGGGCAAGCAGUGGGAUAUUGCAUGUUUUGUAAUACUGAUAAUGUUGUGAAAGCACAAUCAUUAAAUGGAGGUACGUCUCCUUGGAGUGCAGCGACUGAUGCUAGCUUGUAAGCAGUUAUGGAAUUUGCAUCUUCGCUUUUGAAAGGAAAGAAUGUUAAUAAAUCAAAGACAAAUGGAGUACUAUCUGUUCGUGCGACGUCUAUGUUUGGAUGUUGAAGAUCAAGAGGAUGAAGAAUGAUAAAAAAUCCAAAUGGUAUAUGAAGAUGAAGAGGAAUGAAAGUGUAAGAUAAAUUGUACUUUUUCUUUUUUUGAGAACAUAAUACUUUUUAAUUAGUUGUAAACAUUUUUAUUUAUGGAAU